GGCCUCCUGAACACCCUCUGUACAUUCUGGCAUUGCUCCUGAUGAGGAACGUUGCUGCUCUGUCUUCUUUUAUGACAUGCACUGUGUUCACGUCACAAACAGCGCUAGCGUGAUUGUAUCAUCGGUGCGAUGCUAUGCAUGCACGUACCGGUGCCACACAUAUGAUAAUGGGAGGGUCCAUGUGCCUAUUUAUGCACCUCAUGUUGAUCUAAUCCUUGCCCUGUCAUGGUUUACAUUGUGGUUAAAUCAGAGAGCACAUUUAUCUCUUGUCUUGAUCCAUGGCUGCUGACUCUCGACUUAC